rnacentral:rRNA from 1 species
UACGUAGGGGGCAAGCGUUGUCCGGAUUUAUUGGGCGUAAAGAGCUCGUAGGCGGCUUGGCAAGUCGGGUGUGAAAACUUCAGGCUCAACCUGGAGAUGGCACUCGAUACUGCUAUGGCUAGAGUCCGGUAGGGGACCACGGAAUUCCUGGUGUAGCGGUGAAAUGCGCAGAUAUCAGGAAGAAUACCGAUUGCGAAGGCAGCUCACUAAACUGUAACUGACGCUGAGGCACGAAAGCGUGGGGAGCAAACAGG